UUGACAAAUAGCACUAGAACUAAGCUCCUCUUGAGCCUCUCAGAAACACUGUCAGCUCCCAGCAUCUAGUUCUGUAUAAUGAGCUCCUGUUUUUUGACAAACAGCUUUGGUAACUUAAAUUUCUUGCCUGAGUAACAGCCCAAGUGAAACAACAUUUUUGUUAUUGAACUUUCAAAGAAAGUUUGGAACCCAAAUUGCUGCCAGGAUGGAAUAUUACUAUGUCUGAAUCCAGUGCUCUUGCAACCGUUUGAACAGCAGUUCUAAGUGAGAUGCUCUGAGCUCUCCAGGACCACAGAUUCCAGCAAUUUAUGUUUUUGAGAUGGAGUUUUCUUGAUUCCCAUUGGAACAAAAAGAUUCUGUCAUUAGCGAGAUACUUGUGUGACCUUCAGAGCUGUGUCUCCAAUUUCUUCCUAGCUUCUUGCUGGUCUGUUCAGCCUGCAGUCUUUUGGGACAAUGAUGAGCUACAUAUUUCUCGAGCGCAAAAUAGAAAAAUAAGGUAA
rnacentral:lncRNA from 1 species